GCCGGGACUCCAGGCCGUCAGCGAUGACGACGCGCGGGCGCUCACCCGCGACCUUGCGGGCGGCGCAAAGGCCGCUGCGCCGCCGGAAGUGGGACGCCUGCUUCCGCUCGGCGCCUCCACCCCCACCCCCACCCCCACCCCCGGCGGGAGUCCCGGGGCUCCGCCGCUGCCGGAAGCCGCUGUGACGGUGCAGCGAGCGGAUUGAGACACCCGUGCGGCGCCUUUCCCGUCACCGCGACGUCACGCGCGCGCAGCCAGCGUGGACGCCGACGAGGGAGGUCCCGGUCGGGCCCCGUGCUCGGUUUCCGGGAACACCGAGAAACCACCUUUACCACGAAGCUUGCCAGCGCUGUCCACAGCGAGCGAGCACGAGACUGGUACCUGGAGAAAGGCCGAGUCCUGAGCACUCUAUCUACUGCCUCAGCUGCCGGCAGACAUGCCUCACCGUCCCAGUCUCGCUAUUUGGCUGCCUCUGAGUGCUGGGAUUAAAGGACUCUGUCACCACCACACCUGGUUCAAAUACAUUCAUCUUUAAGGGUAGAAGAAAGGAUUCAGAAGAACAUUUGAAAUAUCAGGGAAAGACCUCCUCGCCCUGGCAGUCCACCAUGUUCUCUUUCGCGUCCCUCCACAGGCCUGAGACAUGGCAGGAGGUAGCUCUGCCCUUAAUACCACAGCCAAGGCCGAGCAGGCCCCAAUUCCUU